UACGUAGGUGGCAAGCGUUGUCCGGAUUUACUGGGCGUAAAGGGCUCGUAGGCGGCCAACUAAGUCGGACGUGAAAUCCCCAGGCUCAACCUGGGAACUGCGUCCGAUACUGGAUGGCUUGAAUCCGGGAGAGGGAUGCAGAAUUCCAGGUGUAGCGGUGAAAUGCGUAGAUAUCUGGAGGAAUACCGGUGGCGAAGGCGGCAUCCUGGACCGGCAUUGACGCUGAGGAGCGAAAGCCAGGGGAGCAAACGGG
rnacentral:rRNA from 1 species